CCUACGGGCGGCAGCAGUGGGGGAUAUUGCACAAUGGGGGAAACCCUGAUGCAGCGACACCGCGUGUAGGAAGACGGUCCUCUGGAUUGUAAACUACUGUCCCCAGGGACGAAGAUGACGGUACCUGGGGAGGAAGCUCCGGCUAACUACGUGCCAGCAGCCGCGGUAAUACGUAGGGAGCGAGCGUUGUCCGGAAUUACUGGGUGUAAAGGGAGCGUAGGCGGGGAUGCAAGUUGGGUGUUAAAUCUACCGGCUCAACUGGUAGUCGCACUCAAAACUGCAGCUCUUGAGUGAAGUAGAGGCAGGCGGAAUUCCUGGUGUAGCGGUGAAAGGGGUGGUUAUAGGAGGAACACCAGUGGCGAAGGCGGCCUGCUGGGCUUUUACUGACGCUGAGGCUCGAAAGUGUGGGGAGCAAACAGGAUUAGAUACCCCGGUAGUC
rnacentral:rRNA from 1 species